AAAAAAUCGAUGACGGGAAUAAAGGAAUAAGAAAUCGUAUUUUCAGAGAGCUGGGGUUGCUGGAAGCCCAGUAAUACAACUUAUUCCGACAUCAUCCCUGAGUGUUGAGCUGAACGGUUUUUACUUUAGUAGGCUCAAUCGGGUGCUCUUAACCGAUCACCUGUUACCAAAAGAAGCGUUUUUUAAUUUAGUUGUCGCUUCAUAAGGCAGUAUUCGUAAGGAUACUGUAAAACCGGGUGGUACCGAGAAAAAGAAGGCCUUUUCUCCCCGAUU
rnacentral:ncRNA from 1 species